rnacentral:tRNA from 1 species
ACGAAAUAUAGCUUAGUAAAGCAUCUCGCUUACACCGAGAAGACAUUUGUGAAAAUCAAAUUAUCUCGA